UACGUAGGGAGCAAGCGUUGUUCGGAUUUACUGGGCGUAAAGGGCGCGUAGGCGGCGCGGUAAGUCACUUGUGAAAUCUCUGGGCUUAACUCAGAACGGCCAAGUGAUACUGCAGUGCUAGAGUGCAGAAGGGGCAAUCGGAAUUCUUGGUGUAGCGGUGAAAUGCGUAGAUAUCAAGAGGAACACCUGAGGUGAAGACGGGUUGCUAGGCUGACACUGACGCUGAGGCGCGAAAGCCAGGGGAGCAAACGGG
rnacentral:rRNA from 1 species